rnacentral:lncRNA from 1 species
UGUAGGCAAAAGCGACUAAGUGCCGCACGGGUCGAGGCAUUCGAAUUCUAAGCCCGUGACACUUGUCUGUUAUUCAAACCGACAAUCCACAUUUUUUAAUAAUCUAAUCAAUGAUUGCGGUGCCUCUUGGAAGAAUUGGGAUUGGAUUCGAUUCAAGCACACAUUCAGAGAAGAAAACAAUGUAUGACUAAUAGCUAGUGGUUUGGAGGAAUUGAGAACAGAUUCGAUUCAAGUACACACACUUAGAGAAGGAAACAAGUGUUUGACUACUAGCUAAUGGGUUUUCGACUCAAUGUUACAUAGGAAAAUGCUGCAGAGGAAGAGGUAGAGAAUAGUAGCACAGUAAUGGGCAGUCUGAAGAGGAUUAAGAAAAGGCAAAGUUGGAUGAAGGAUUAUGUGAUAUAGAGACGAAGGGAAGCUAAAGGGAAGUAGUUAACAUGUUAAAUAGUUAGCUUAGCUUGUUAACAGUUAGCUUGUUAAAGAAUUAGUUAACAGUUAGUUUGUUAAAGAAUUAAUUAAUAGAUUAAAGGUUCUGUUACAGCAGUGGAGGAAAAAAUAGUUACUGGAGUUAGGAAGUUCUUGAUUCUGAUAGAAUAUAUAUAUACAUAUAUAUACAUAUAUAUAUACCAUUGUAACACUAAUGAGGAUAUGAAAAUUCAAAUUGAAACUUUUCUUUAAAGAGCAACUUCUUUAGCUCGAAUAGAGAUUUCUUUCAUUCUUCUACUCUGUCAAUUGCAUGGUCACUCGCCGAGAACUUUGUUCUUAACAUUGGUGCUUUCAUUCAUUCAUCUAGUCAUUUAUCCUAUAAUGUCUGAGGGUACUAGACUUUCAAAGAUCAAUGAGGCUAUCAAGAGUUUCACUGAGUUUAGAAAGGAGGCUAAAGUUUGAUUCGUGAACUUAACAAUACGAAUUCAAGAUUUAUGCAUGCUUUUGAUCAGAGGAUAACAGAGGUAUCCAAUCAUUCACAACAUACUUCUGAAGAAAAUUUCAUUAAUCUACCUACUUUCAUCAGCAACAACCAUAAUAAUCAUCAAUUUCAUUUCACAAAAAUUGAUGUUCCCCACAUUGAUGGCAUAGAUGCGUCCAUUUGGAUAUUCCAAAUGGAAUUUUUUUUUAAUUUUAUAAUACUCUUGAAGAUCAAAGAGUUUUGAUUUGGCUUAAUGGCAAGUUUGGUCCCCAACGUAUAGCCUGUGUCGUAUGUGGUCCCCAAUGGAUCAAUUAUAUUAAUUUAGUCCCUCCUGUUUCAAAUGUGUAUUUAAAUGGUCCCUACUUCAAAAAAAUAUCAUUUUGUGCAUAGAAUUUCAUGAAAUUUUAUGGAUUUCUACAUGAAAUUUUAUAGAUUUUUGAAUUUUUAUUUGAAAUCUUUUCAUUUUUAGUGAUUUUUUUGGGAAUAGGGACCAUUUAAAUAUACAUUGAAACAUGGGGGACUAAAUUAAUACAAUUGAUACAUUGGGGACCACAAUACGACACAGGCUAUACGUUGGGGACCAAACUUGCCAUUAAAAAUUUCUUCUUUUCAUUUGGAAGGGCAUGCUCUCAGUUGGUUUAAAUGGAUGCAUUCUAAUAGUUUCAUUGAAUCUUGGAAAGGGUUUUUAAAAGCCAUUAAUCUCAGGUUUGGUCCUUCUUUGUGUGAAGAUCACAUAGGAGCCUUAUCUAAAUUGCAACAGACAACCACAAUAACAAAUUAUCAAGCCCAAUUUAAAGAAUUGUCUACUAAGGUACAGGGUUUAUCUCAACAAUUUUUGUAGAGUUUUUCAUUUCAAGAUUGAAAUCUGAAAUUAAACGUGAGGUGUUGGUAGCACAAUCGCAAUCUCUAUUACAAGCUAUGGCUCUAUCCAGGUUACAAGAAGAUAAAUUCAAUGAUUUGAAAUAAUAUUUUAAAUCUUCUUAGCAAUGACUUUUAUCUGAUUUUACUCUAAAUAAAACUCAAUCACUUACACACCAUCUAUAUCAUCCAAACCAACAGUUCAGAAUAGUUCACAACAAUCAAUUAAUCAGUCUUUACACAUUAGACGAUUGUCUCAUGCGGACCUUAAAGUUAGAAGGGAGAAGGGUUUGUUUUACAAUUGUGAUGAUAUAAUAUGCACCUGGUCAUAAAUGUAAAUCCAAUUUUUUUUUACUUGUUGGGGAUGAAGAUGAACAAGAUGUUGUAGUGUUGGAGGAGAUAAAUAUAGCAGAAGAUUCUGCUAUUUUUAGUAUUCCUGAAGUAAGUAUGCAUGCCUUGUCUGGUCAUAUUAGUCCAAGAACUAUAAAGGUGAAGGGUACAAUCAGCAGUUAUUAUGUCAAUGUUCUUAUUAAUAGUGGUAGUGCACAUAAUUUCUUUCAAGAAAGGGUUGCUAAUCAAUUAGGAUUAUCUGUUACCUCUUCCAAUCCAUUUAGAGUUUACAUUGGUAAUGGAGAUUUUUUGAAUUAUGACAAUAAAUGUGCAGAGGUGAAACUAUGUUUACCGGAUCAUAAAUUUUGUAUGGAUUUCUUUAUUUACCAAUUCAAGGAGUUGAUGUGGUAUUAGGGAUUUAGUAGCUGGAACUUUUGGGAUCUGUGAUUACUAAUUACAAAACUAUUGACAAUGAAUUUUAAAUGGAAUGUUAAGGAAGUGUAUUUAAUGGGGGAAUCACAAGUCAAUGAUGAAUUUCUACUUAGCAAGCAACUCAUGAAGUUGACAAAAACUCAGAAUAUUGCAUCCUUAUUCCAUUUGAAAGCUGUUGAGCACAAAGAUUCAGACAUUGAUAUUCUAGCCUGUGUCCAGCUUUUGUUAUAGCAGUAUUUUUGUAUUUUUACAUAACCUUUCACAUUACCUCCUUUUAGAGAUACUGACCAUCAAAUUCAUUUAAAACUAGAUGCUGCUCCUGUUAAUGUAAGUCUAUAUAGAUAUUCACAUUUUCAGAAGUUAGAAAUGGAGAAACUAGUAUAAGAGAUGUUGCAUUAGGGAAUUAUCAGACCUAGCCAAAGUCCUUUUUCUUCACCUAUGCUUUUGGUUAAGAAGAAAGAUGGUUCUUGGUGAUUUUGCAUUGAUUACUUAGCUCUUAAUGCCAUACUUGUUAAAGAUAAAUUUCUUAUUCCAACUAUAAAUGAACUAUUGGAUGAAUUGAAAGGCAUUGUGGUGUUCUCUAAAUUGGAUUUAAGAGUUGGUUAUCAUUAGAUUCGAGUGAAUGCUAGAGAUAUACAUAUUACUGCAUUUCGAACACAUCAAGUUCAUUAUGAAUUUUUAGUUAUGCCUUUUGAAUUAACCAAUGCACCUUCAACUUUUCAGGCUACAAUAAAUCAAGUUUUUUUCACCUUAUUUGAGGAAGUUUGUUAUAAUUUUUUAUGAUAUUUUUGUUUAUAGUUCAUCUAUGACUGGGCAUUUAGAUCAUUUGAAAAUUGUGUUGCAGUGCUUAACUAAUACUCAGUUGUUUUCUAAAAUGAGUAAAUACCAGUUUUGUCAAGCUAUAAUUGAAUAUUUAGGCCACAUAGCGUCUGCUAAAGAAGUAGAACUAGAUCCCAAGAAGAUUCAGGGAAUGACAGAGUGAAUUGUUCCUAAAAAUCUGAAAUAACUAAUAGGUUUUAUAGGAUUAAAUGGUUAUUACAGAAGGUUUAUUCAAGGAUAUGCAACCAUUGCCACAUCUUUGACAAAUCUUCUAAAGAAAGAUGCUUUGAUGGGGGAAGAAAUGUUAUAGAGCAAUCUGCUGUAGAGGAAAAUGCUGCAGCUACUAUAGAGAAAAAUGUUGCAGAGGAAGAGGUAGAGAAUAAUAGCACAGGAAUGGGCAAUAUGAAGAGGAUUAAGAAAAGGACAAGUCAGAUGAAGGAUUAUGUGAUAUAGAGAUGAAGCGAAGCUGAAGGGAAGCAGUUAGCUUGUUAAACAGUUAGCUUAGCUUGUUAACAAUUAGCUUGUUAAAGAAUUAGUUAACAGUUAGUUUGUUAAAGAAUUAGUUAACAGAUUAAAGAUUCUGCUACAGAAUUGGAGGGAAAAGUAUUUACAAGAGUUAGGAAGUUCUUGAUUCUGAUAAAAUGUAUAUAAAUACACCAUUGUAACACUAAUGAGGAUAUGAAAAUU